rnacentral:rRNA from 1 species
CUACGGGCGGCUCCAGUGGGGAAUAUUGCACAAUGGGCGCAAGCCUGAUGCAGCCAUGCCGCGUGUAUGAAGAAGGCCUUCGGGUUGUAAAGUACUUUCAGCGGGGAGGAAGGGAGUAAAGUUAAUACCCUUGCUCAUUGACGUUACCCGCAGAAGAAGCACCGGCUAACUCCGUGCCAGCAGCCGCGGUAAUACGGAGGGUGCAAGCGUUAAUCGGAAUUACUGGGCGUAAAGCGCACGCAGGCGGUUUGUUAAGUCAGAUGUGAAAUCCCCGGGCUCAACCUGGGAACUGCAUCUGAUACUGGCAAGCUUGAGUCUAGUAGAGGGGGGUAGAAUUCCAGGUGUAGCGGUGAGAUGCGUAGAGAUCUGGAGGAAUACCGGUGGCGAAGGCGGCCCCCUGGACGAAGACUGACGCUCAGGUGCGAAAGCGUGGGGAGCAAACAGGAUUAGAUACCCCCGUAGUC